rnacentral:rRNA from 1 species
GAUGAACGCUAGCGGCAGGCUUAAUACAUGCAAGUCGUGGGGCAGCAGGGGUGUAGCAAUACAUCUGCUGGCGACCGGCAAACGGGUGCGUAACACGUACGCAACCUUCCCGUUACUGUGGCAUAGCCCAGGGAAACUUGGAUUAAUACCACAUAUUAUAUUGGUGAGGCAUCUCAUUGAUAUCAAAGCUUCGGCGUUAACGGAUGGGCGUGCGGUAGAUUAGGUAGUUGGCGGGGUAACGGCCCACCAAGCCUACGAUCAAUAGCUGAUGUGAGAGCAUGAUCAGCCACACGGGCACUGAGACAAGGGCCCGACUCCUACGGGAGGCAGCAGUAAGGAAUAUUGGGCAAUGGACGAAAGUCUGACCCAGCCAUGCCGCGUGAAGGAUUAAGGUCCUCUGGAUUGUAAACUUCUUUUCUCUGGGGCGAAAACCAGCUAUUCUUAGCUAUUUGACAGUACCAGAGGAAUAAGCACCGGCUAACUCCGUGCCAGCCGCCGCCGUAAUAC